rnacentral:rRNA from 1 species
GCCAUCAUUAAGUUGGGCUCGUCUAAAGAGACUGCCGGUAGGUCAAACCGGAGGAAGGUGGGAUGACGUCAAGUCCUCAUGGCCUUUAUGACCAGGGCUACACACGUACUACAAUGGCCGGUACAAAGGGCAGCGACACAGCGAUGUGAAGCCAAUCCCGAAAAGCCGGUCUCAGUCCGGAUUGGAGUCUGCAACUCGACUCCAUGAAGUUGGAAUCGCUAGUAAUCGUGGAUCAGCACGCCACGGUGAAUACGUUCCCGGGCCUU